rnacentral:rRNA from 1 species
GGACGAACGCUGGCGGCGUGCCUAAUACAUGCAAGUCGAACGGUCUUUUCUAUGGAAGCUUGCUUCCACUGAGAAGAUAGUGGCGAACGGGUGAGUAACACGUGGGUAACCUGCCCAUAAGAGGGGGAUAACAUCCGGAAACGGGUGCUAAUACCGCAUAGUUUUCUUGAUCGCAUGAUCGGGAAAGGAAAGACGGCCUUUGUGCUGUCGCUUAUGGAUGGACCCGCGGCGUAUUAGUUAGUUGGUGAGGUAACGGCUCACCAAGACGAUGAUACGUAGCCGACCUGAGAGGGUGAUCGGCCACAUUGGGACUGAGACACGGCCCAAACUCCUACGGGAGGCAGCAGUAGGGAAUCUUCCGCAAUGGACGAAAGUCUGACGGAGCAACGCCGCGUGAGUGAAAGAAGGUUUUCGGAUCGUAAAACUCUGUUGUCAGAGAAGAACAAGUUGGAGAGUAACUGCUCCAGCCUUGACGGUAUCUGACCAGAAAGCCACGGCUAACUACGUGCCAGCCGCCGC